UGCUGGCAUCAGGUUGGCCUCACGUGCCGGCAUCAGGUUGGCCGCUCGUGCUGGCAUCACGUUAGCCGCUCGUGCUGGCAUCAGGUUGGCCACUCGUGCUGGCAUCAGGUUGGCCGCUCGUGCUGGCAUCACGUUGGCCGCUCGUGCUGGCAUCAGGUUGGCCGCUCGUGCUGGCAUCACGUUGGCCGCUCGUGCUGGCAUCAGGUUGGCCGCUCGUGCUGGCAUCAGGUUGGCCGCUCGUGCUGGCAUCAGGUUGGCCUCACGUGCCGGCGGCAGGAUGGCCGCAGGUUCUGGUGGCAGGUUGGCCUCACGUGCUAGCGGCAGGUCGGCCUCACCUACUAGCGGCAGGUUGGCCGCAGGCGGUGGCGCCGGCGGCGGG